rnacentral:rRNA from 1 species
ACUGAACAUUGAGCCUUGAUGUGUAGGAUAGGUGGGAGGCUUUGAAGUGUGGACGCCAGUCUGCAUGGAGUCGACCUUGAAAUACCACCCUUUAAUGUUUGAUGUUCUAACGUUGACCCGUGAUCCGGGUUGCGGACAGUGUCUGGUGGGUAGUUUGACUGGGGCGGUCUCCUCCUAAAGAGUAACGGAGGAGCACGAAGGUUGGCUAAUCCUGGUCGGACAUCAGGAGGUUAGUGCAAUGGCAUAAGCCAGCUUGACUGCGAGCGUGACGGCGCGAGCAGGUGCGAAAGCAGGUCAUAGUGAUCCGGUGGUUCUGAAUGGAAGGGCCAUCGCUCAACGGAUAAAAGGUACUCCGGGGAUAACAGGCUGAUACCGCCCAAGAGUUCAUAUCGACGGCGGUGUUUGGCACCUCGAUGUCGGCUCAUCACAUCCUGGGGCUGAAGUAGGUCCCAAGGGUAUGGCUGUUCGCCAUUUAAAGUGGUACGCGAGCUGGGUUUAGAACGUCGUGAGACAGUUCGGUCCCUAUCUGCCGUGGGCGCUGGAGAACUGAGGGGGGCUGCUCCUAGUACGAGAGGACCGGAGUGGACGCAUCACUGGUGUUCGGGUUGUCAUGCCAAUGGCACUGCCCGGUAGCUAAAUGCGGAAGAGAUAAGUGCUGAAAGCAUCUAAGCACGAAACUUGCCCCGAGAUGAGUUCUCCCUGACUCCUUGAGAGUCCUGAAGGAACGUUGAAGACGACGACGUUGAUAGGCCGGGUGUGUAAGCGCAGCGAUGCGUUGAGCUAACCGGUACUAAUGAACCGUGAGG